AACCAUAGAAACCUGCGGAGUACCUGCGGAAGGAUCAUUACAUUCAGUAGCCUAGCUACUUGUUUACACCCUUGUUUUUUUGCGCACUUCAUUGUAUCCCUCGGCGGGCUUGCUCGCCGGUUGGACAACAUUUAUAACCUUUUUUAAUCUUCAAUCAGCGUCUGAAUUAUAUUUAAUAAUUACAACUUUUAACAAUGGAUCU
rnacentral:misc_RNA from 1 species